UCCUGAUUUUAAGGGUUUGGAUAGCAGUAUUUAAAAAUCAGAGUUACCUCCCUUUGUCAGUUUUAUUGUGUUUUGUGUGCAUUCAUGUGCAUUGACCCUAGGUCACUAUUUUUCCCUCUGAAAUGCUUUAAUUUCAUUGGAUUAGCCUCUGAUAAGAUAUCUGGUCAUUGUCUAGAUUGUCAUGUUUCUGAAAGCAUGUAUUGAACUUUUUAUUUUAAGAAUAGUUGAAUUUAUAUUGGAUUAUUACAGACCUAAACAGAUCACAGUGUGUUUGUGUGUGUGUUUUUCUGGACUGAGUACUGCUGUAACAUAUGGUGCAUUUAGGUCCACAACCUGGAUGUGUUUUUACCAUACAUUAUGGAGACAGAUCUACCAAUAUUAAAAUAGUAAACUGUAUACAAUGGUAUGGCUCAUUGACCCACAAAGGAAUAACAAGAAGAACCCAUCCCCAUAAACGAUAAACACUUAUUAGUUAUACUGCCAAUUAUUACGGCAAAACAGUACAAACUAACAGAGUGACAAUUAUAAAUCAACUCUCAGCACUGGGUUUAACAUGAAUACUUACUAUGCAAUCUGACAUACCUUUUACC
rnacentral:lncRNA from 1 species